rnacentral:piRNA from 1 species
UAGUGACAUACUGAGAGCAGUUUAGUCUCCA